GACAGUUUGGCCGAGUGGUCUAAGGCGCUGGCUUAAGGCGCCUGUCCGAAAGGGCGUGGGUUCGAACCCCACAGCUGUCA
rnacentral:tRNA from 1 species